GUUGCUUCUGAAAAGCUGGGUGCCUAGUUUAUUGAUUGGUCAUUCACAGUGGGAAGCAUAUAGUUGUGGAAUUGCCAGUUUUUAACAGCAUGGUGUUUAUUUCUUUGCAUUGUGUUACCUGUCUGCUGGUAAAUAA